GAUGAACGCUGGCGGCAGGCCUAACACAUGCAAGUCGAGCGCCCAGCAAUGGGAGCGGCAGACGGGUGUGUAACGCGUGGGGAUGUGCCCAAUGGUGCGGAAUAACCCAGGGAAACUUGGAUUAAUACCGCAUGUGCCCUUCGGGGGAAAGAGUUAUCGCCAUUGGAUCAACCCGCGUCUGAUUAGCUAGUUGGUGAGGUAAAGGCUCACCAAGGCGACGAUCAGUAGCUGGUCUGAGAGGAUGAUCAGCCACACUGGCACUGAGACACGGCCCAGGCUCCUACGGGAGGCAGCAGUGGGGAAUAUUGGACAAUGAGAGCAAGCCUGAGCCAGCCAUGCCGCGGGAGUGAUGAAGGCCUUAGGGUUGCAAAGCUCUUUCGCCGGUGAAGAUAAUGACGGUAACCGGAGAAGAAGCCCCGGCUAACUUCGUGCCAGCCGCCGCCGUAA
rnacentral:rRNA from 1 species